AAAAAAGGGCGUAUUACACUAGUGGUAGGGUGGCCUAUCAUGACCAUAGAGACCCUUGGUGACUAGUUUUUGUUGUAUAUUGCCCUGGGAAGGGGAUACGCUAUCUAAUAGAAAUUCCUGAGAGACCAGGAAAUAUACAAUAAGUGAUACGUGAGUGUACUGGUUAAAUUGCAGACAUAUUGGCCCAGAACCUUUAAUCGAGCCGGAAAAGAGGCUGCUGUAUGUUUGCUCCUCUAUAAUUUUGCGGGGGCGGUCACCCCCAUGCGGAAAGCCACUGCCAUCACAGGGUGGUUAGUUGUGCAGGCCCUUAGCUGCGAGGUGCAAGCAUGUCCGUGGAAAGGCUAGAAAUUAAUAGGGAGUCACUCAUAGCUGUCAGAAGUGUUGAACUUUGAGACAUAUUGACCUAUAUCCUUUCAGAGGCGGAAGAGGUGUUGUGGUUCACUC